GCUAAACCAGAGUGCCUGGAGUAAAAGGCAUGCGAUGAACAUGCAAACUCCACACAGGCAGGACUGGGAUUGGAACUCUAACUCUAUGAGGUUUCAGGAUGAAGCUCUAAUUCACUGUAACUUUUCCAGAAAUAAAGAAAGAGUACGCGAGAGGCUGGUUCAGGAUGUGGUUUGAGACCGUAACGGGCCAGUCUCGCCCAUCCUCCUGGUCAGAAAGACAAUCUUCGUUGGUUUUACAGCCACCCAGUGCACUCAGCACUGACUCCCCCGCCUGACCAGGAACAGAGAUACAGGCCAUAUCAUGGUCAAUCAAUGAUUUAAUACAUCAAAAAAGACUUCCACCACAGGUCCUCACCAUCUCCCAGAAGUAAACAGCCAUCUCACUGCGGUUCUGUAGGACAGCCCAGAUGAAGAGUGCUACCCAGGGAGACUGGCAGUGUUGGUCUCGGUAGGCACA